rnacentral:rRNA from 1 species
UACGGGGGGGAGCAAGCGUUGUUCGGAUUUACUGGGCGUAAAGGGCGCGUAGGCGGCCACCGCAAGUCGACUGUGAAAUCUCGGGGCUCAACCCCGAGCGGUCGUGAGAAACUGGCAGGCUAGAGUGCGGGAGAGGAGAGUGGAAUUCCCGGUGUAGCGGUGAAAUGCGCAGAUAUCGGGAGGAACACCUAUGGCGAAGGCAGCUCGCUGGGACGUUACUGACGCUGAGACGCGAAAGCGUGGGGAGCAAACAGG